rnacentral:misc_RNA from 1 species
GGCCGUCCUUUAUCUCUCCGGCGGCGCCUCUCAGGUCUCCCUCGCUCUCCAACGGUGCCUCCAUUAAGGAGUGAUUAUCAUGAAAAUCAACUUAACUAAGUUAUUAGAUCUUUUGAUUAGGCGCUAGGCUGGUUGAUUUCAGUGCCUGGAGCUACAAAUACGGUGCUUGAAGCUGCGGUACCCUACUCCCGAAUGUCCAUGGUUCAAUUACUUGGCAAGAUUCCUACUCAUUAUUGUAGUCAACAAACAGCAGAGGAAAUGGCUUUAUUGGCUUAUAAUCGGGCCCUUAAGCUCUCUAGUCCUGGUUCUAUUCAUCUGCUGAAUAGAUUGUCCAGUUCUUGGUGUGGGUUUUACUGGUUCUCUAGCUAGCACGCAGGCUAAAGUCGGUGACCACAGAUUUCACUUGUCAACAAGA